rnacentral:pre_miRNA from 1 species
GAGGGAAGUGACGUCAGCGACACAGCAAACGCAGAUUGGGUGUUGAUUUUGUUUUCUUCUUUCAACAUCCAAUCUGCAUUUGCUGUGUCGUUGACGUCACUUCCCUCU